rnacentral:rRNA from 1 species
AUUGAACGCUGGCGGCAGGCCUAACACAUGCAAGUCGAGCGAGCGGCGGACGGGUGAGUAAUGUAUGGGGACUGCCCGAUAGAGGGGGAUAACUACUGGAAACGGUAGCUCAUACCGCAUACUAUCGGAUAACCCAUAUGGGAUUAGCUAGUAGGUGAGGUAAUGGCUCACCUAGGCGACGAUCCCUAGCUGGUCUGAGAGGAUGAUCAGCCACACUGGGACGGAGACACGGGCCAGACUCCUACGGAGGCAGGAGUGGGGAAUAGUGCACAAUGGGGGCAAGCCUGAUGCAGCCAUGCCGGGGGGAUGAAGAAGGCCCUAGGGUUGUAAAGUACGUUCAGGCGGGAGGCGUUACCGACAGAAGAAGCACCGGCUAACUCCGUGCCAGCAGCCGCGGUAAUAC